rnacentral:lncRNA from 1 species
UCUUUAUAGCAACCAUGGCUUUCUGUUUCUUGGCGAGAAUUAUGUUGGCAACCCUGAUAAUCGUCAUCUUCAGCCUGCAGUUGCAGCUGGUUUCAACUCAUGCAGCCGGAGGUAUGUAACCUUUCUUUUCAAACUAGCAAGUCCUUAUAAUUGGCCAAUACAUAGGCUAAGUGAUUUUUAACUUAUAAGUCAUUUUUUUAAAUCAGCAAACACUACUUGCCCGUUCGAGUCCUUAUAAUUUGUUGUAUGCUUUUCGAUGAAUUAAUUUUUAAAUUUUCUUUUGUGAAAUUUACCGUAAAUUAUAAGAGCAUCUCCAAGAAUCCCCGUUCGAGUUUCGGAGUCGGUGAUGAGUAUUGAAUUCGGGGAUGAGGGGCAUGGAUAACACUCCCCGAAUCCGAAGUGUCCCCUGCCCAUCCCUAAUACUAUCAAUGUCGCAGUUGCAGGUGAAAAGAGGAGCAUACUGUUAUCUCCUCCAGAUCACGGAUUUGACGGACGGGACAUUAUUCGCAUUCCUCACACUCCUAAAGGGCUGAGCGUUCGGUCGGUUCGGUCCAGAACCGGACCGAACCGAAUGGACCGAGGACCGAAUUUCUGAAAUUUUCUGGACCGGACCGGACCGAAAUUUGCAUAUGGACCGAACCGGGACCGAACCGAAAUAAUUCGGUCGGUUCGGUCCGGACCGCCAGAACCGAAAUUUUGUAUUAAUUUAAGGGAAGCACAAGUGCACAACUCGAUGCCUUAUCGGCUGGUCUACUGGCUGAAGAAGACAAGUUAGGAGCUAUAUACUUUGAUGAAGUAUUUUGCUGGCAAUUUCUUGUGGAAACAAAGGUAGUAUAAGUUUUGCUUCACUUCCAUGCCGAUCAUAUUAGUUCAGUAAUUUUCAAUGCAGCAGAGGUGCUAUGCUGCGUGUGCGCGGCGCUCGGAGAGAGUGGGAUAGCAGAUUAGGUAAUAGAUAUAAUAGAUUAGGUAUUGUAUAGACUAUAGACUAUAGUCAUAUAGAAUAUGUUAAGUAAUAUAUAAAAUAUAUAUAUAUAAACUUCGGUCCAUUCGGUCCAGGACCGAAGAUUUUCGCUGAGGACCGGACCGGACCGUAUUUUAUUUCGGUCCGGACCGAAAUACCCGAACAGACCGAAAUUUUUGAAAAUUAGGACCGAACCGGAUCGAAAUUAUUCGGUUCGGUUCGGUUUUUCGGUUUCGGUCCGGUUUUGCUCAGCCCUAAUAACGAUCGUUUGUAUUCAAAGGCAGCAUCACGACGCCAAGCACUUCAAGAUCCAAAGCCGCCGCUCCAUUCUCCUCCACCUCCGGUUGGAAGCCGUCCUGUUUACCCACCUUGACAUGAGUCAGGAUCGCUGUGGAAAUAAGUAUAAUUAUGAGUGACAGACAUGCUAGCUGGAGCCUAUUUGUCUUGCCUGGGUUUAAAGCUCAGUUUUUAAGCUAUUUUUGAUUAAACUUGAGAAUGUAUGUUUGUAUAAUAUGAUUUAAAAUUUUAAAUAAAUUUGAAAUUGACUUA